rnacentral:rRNA from 1 species
AUUGAACGCUGGCGGCAUGCUUUACACAUGCAAGUCGAACGGUAACAGGCCUUCGGGUGCUGACGAGUGGCGAACGGGUGAGUAAUGCAUCGGAACGUGCCCAGAGGUGGGGGAUAACGCAGCGAAAGCUGUGCUAAUACCGCAUGUGAUCUGAGGAUGAAAGCGGGGGACCAGGCAGCAAUGUUUGGCCUCGCGCCUUUGGACCGGCCGAUGUCAGAUUAGGUAGUUGGUGGGGUAAAGGCCUACCAAGCCGACGAUCUGUAGCUGGUCUGAGAGGACGGCCAGCCACACUGGGACUGAGCCACGGCCAAGACUCCUACGGGAGGCAGCAGUGGGGAAUGUUGGACAAUGGGCGCAAGCCUGAUCCAGCAAUGCCGCGUGCGGGAAGAAGGCCUUCGGGUUGUAAACCGCUUUUGUACGGAACGAAAAGGCUCUGGCUAAUACCUGGGGCUGAUGACGGUAACGGAAGAAUAAGCACCGGCUAACUACGUG